AGAGCGAACGCUGGCGGCAGGCCUAACACAUGCAAGUCGAGCGCGUGUAGCAAUACACGAGCGGCAGACGGGAGAGUAACACGUGGGAACGCGCCCUUCGGUUCGGAAUAACUCAGGGAAACUUGAGCUAAUACCGGAUACGCCCUUACGGGGAAAGAUUUAUUGCCGAAGGAACGGCCCGCGUCCGAUUAGCUAGUUGGUGAGGUAACGGCUCACCAAGGCGACGAUCGGUAGCUGGUCUGAGAGGAUGACCAGCCUCACUGGGACUGAGACACGGCCCAGACUCCUACGGGAGGCAGCAGUGGGGAAUAUUGGACAAUGGGCGCAAGCCUGAUCCAGCCAUGCCGCGUGGAUGAUGAAGGCCUUAGGGUUGUAAAGUCCUUUUAACGGGGAGAUAAUGACGGUACCGUAGAAUAAGCCCGGCUAACUUCGCGCCAGCAGCCGC
rnacentral:rRNA from 1 species